CUAUGUCUUGUCUAUGUCUUGUCUAUGUCUUGUCUAUGUCUUUGAACAAGACAUGGACAAGACAUAGACAAGACAUAGACAAGACAUAGA
rnacentral:pre_miRNA from 1 species